rnacentral:rRNA from 1 species
AUUGAACGCUGGCGGCAUGCUUUACACAUGCAAGUCGGACGAGUGGCGAACGGGUGAGUAACAUAUCGGAACGUACCGAGUAAUGGGGGAUAACUAAUCGAAAGAUUAGCUAAUACCGCAUAUUAUUCGAGCGGCCGAUAUCUGAUUAGCUGGUUGGUGGGGUAAAGGCCUACCAAGGCGACGAUCAGUAGCGGGUCUGAGAGGAUGAUCCGCCACACUGGGACUGAGACACGGCCCAGACUCCUACGGGAGGCAGCAGUGGGGAAUUUUGGACAAUGGGCGCAAGCCUGAUCCAGCCAUGCCGCGUGUCUGAAGAAGGCCUUCGGGUUGUAAAGGACUUUUGUCAGGGAAGCGGUACCUGAAGAAUAAGCACCGGCUAACUACGUGCCAGCAGCCGCGGUAAUUC